UAGGGAAUCUUCGGCAAUGGGGGCAACCCUACGACGACACGCCGCGUGAGUGAAGAAGGUUUUCGGAUCGUAAAGCUCUGUUGUAAGAGAAGAACGUGUGUGAGAGUGGAAAGUUCACACAGUGACGGUAACUUACCAGAAAGGGACGGCUAACUACGUG
rnacentral:rRNA from 1 species